rnacentral:rRNA from 1 species
GACGAACGCUGGCGGCGUGCUUAACACAUGCAAGUCGAGCGGUAAGGCCCUUUCGGGGGUACGACGAGCGGCGAACGGGUGAGUAACACGUGGGUGACCUGCCCUCAGCUCUGGGAUAAGCCUGGGAAACCGGGUCUAAUACUGGAUAUGACUCCAUGACGCAUGUUGUGGGGUGGAAAGCCUUGUGCGGCUGAGGAUGGGCCCGCGGCCUAUCAGCUUGUUGGUGGGGUGAUGGCCUACCAAGGCGACGACGGGUAGCCGGCCUGAGAGGGCGACCGGCCACACUGGGGACUGAGACACGGCCCAGACUCCUACGGGAGGCAGCAGUGGGGAAUCUUGCGCAAUGGGCGAAAGCCUGACGCAGCGACGCCGCGUGAGGGAUGACGGCCUGUGUAA